rnacentral:lncRNA from 1 species
GGUUUUGAUAGAGUGUGCCAACAUUUCCAUGAAAUGUAGGAGAGAUCAUCAUGUGCAGUAUGGGAUGCAUAUGGAGUUCUUUCUUUAAAGUCUAAGUGUCAGAUGGGAAGUGUCAGAUGGGCGUUCUAGACGGGCAAAUUAAAACUGCCAGACGGGCAAAGAAGUAAUAGCCAUACGGGCUCAGAAGAAUAACCAUACGGGCUCAGUAUAAAGCCAUACGGGCUUGUGAAGAAUAGUCAUACGGGCUCGGUUUAAAAGCCAUGCGGGCGGAUGAAGAAGUUGCCAAAAGGGCAAGGUAAUGCUAUUGAUCGAGUGUGAUAGUGAUCACACAAGUUUCAGAUUAAAGGGGAG